rnacentral:lncRNA from 1 species
UAGUAGAUUAAUAUUUGUGCUACUCUAUUUCUCUUGUGUGUUGUAUUUUGUGGUAGGCAUGGCUAGUUUGUGGAGUCUAAGUGAUGAAGUUCAUGAAGAGGAAGAGGAGGAUUAUGAUCCCAGUGUUGAACAGGACAAUGCUGCCACAAGUGCAAGGUUGGACUAGAUCGUUGUGGCUAAUCCUGCUCGUCGUCGUGCUGCCCCAUCAGCUACUGCUACGGCAGCACCUCGCACCAAGCGUACAAGGUUGAACCAAGAGGGACGUCGUGCAAGAACUAAUGAAGCAAGUCAGCCACCCGAUGGACAUGAAGCAAGUCAGCCGCCAUCACCACUGGCACCGCCAGGACCAAAGGUUACUACUGCUCAAAAAUUAAGGUCAAAAGCAUGGAAAAACUUCACUAGGAUUGAACAACCUAAUCAUGAUGAAGUAGUGGCAGAGUGCAAUAUUUGUCAUACUAUACUUAGAGCGCCCUCGAAGAAUGGAACAUCUAGUUUGUUAAGGCAUACUGCUCAAGUGCAUCCACAUAAUACAAAUGAAGUAAAUAGCUAUUUUUUGAAAACUGAAAAGAAUGUGAUGGAUCACAUUCAGUUAGAAACACAAAGUUUGACAUGGAAACUAUUAGAGCUGCAAUCUCUAUGUUCCUAGUUGGGGGUUCACAUGCAUUUAGUGUGAUAGAAGAAGUGGGGUUCAAAAAAAUGAUUGGUGCUGCUUGUCCUUAGUUUAAGAUUGUUAGUCGGUACACAAUUAGAAGGAAUAUCAUGGCAAUGUUUGAAAGAGAGAGGACUAAAUUGAGAGAAAUUAUCAGCAACAACCUUGGUAGAGUUAGCUUCACCAUGGACAAUUGGAAAUCAGAUGUGACAAAGUUUAGUUAUAUUUGUAUUACUUGUCAUUAUGUUGAUGAUGCUUGGAGACUGAACAAAAGGAUAAUAUGGUUUAAAAAGUUGAAUCCACGUUAUGAUGGGGCUACAAUUGCUGAUGAAGUCCAUUUAUGUUUUCGUGAGUGGAAGGUUGACACCAAAAUAAUGUGCAUGACUCUUGAUAAUGCUGCAUACAAUGAUUCAAUGGUCAACACUUUGAGAACUACAUUGCUGUCUAAAGGUGUGUUACCAUUGUUUGGAACUUUCUUUCAAGUCCGAUGUUGUGCACACAUUUUAAAUCUGAUUGUCCAAGCUGGUCUGAAACUUAUUGAUAAAUGUGCUGACAAGAUUAGAGAGGGCAUUCAAUAUAUCAAAAUUUCUAGCAAUCGUAUUCACAAGUUCUGUGAAACUGCCAAGAACAUUUACCAUUUGAAAGAAGAUAAAAGGCUGAGAGUAGAUAUGCCCGUCCGUUGGAAUUCAACAUACACAAUGCUUGAGAACGCUUUGUAUUUUAAAGAUGCAUCACUGUGCUUUGGUAAUAGGGAUGGCAUAUUCAAGUCAAACUUCUCUCUUACUAAUGAUGAAUAGGAAAAGGUUCGUAUCAUGCAUGAUUUCUUGAAAACUUUUUAUAAAGUCACAUGCACAUUAUCCGGGACAAAGUAUCCUACCUCCAAUUAGUAUUUCAAGUGUGUGUUCUUGGUUCAAUCAUGUGUCUUGAAGGCAUCUAGUGAAGGACAUGAGUUCAUGGCACCAAUGCUAGCUCCAAUGAAAAAGAAGUUUGAUAAGUAUUGGGCUGAUUAUAAUGUCUUCUUGUCUUGUGCUGCUAUCCUUGAUCCCCGUUGCAAGCUUGGUUUUGUUAAAUAUUGUUAUGGAAAACUUUAUGCCCCCGACGAGGCGGAACGUCGGAUGCAUGAAGUUAAGAAAACUUUGGAGAGUUUGUUUGCUGAAUAUAGUGAUGCUAUUGUUAGUCAAACAUCAUCAGAUGGUGCUACAAACAGUAGGGGAAGUAGGGGAGAUGGUUCUGAUAUGUUCGAUGACUAUGAGAGUUACAUUCAAUCUCAACGGACAAAUGUAGAUAGGUCUCAAUUGGAUCUUUACUUGGAAGAAACUCCUAGAAAAUUGACUGACGAGUUGGAUGUCUUGGAAUUUUGGAGCAAAUCAUCUACGUGAUACCCUGAGCUUGCAUCAAUGGCUCGGGAUAUUCUUGUUGUCCCCAUUUCUAGGGUUGCUUCGGAGCAAGCAUUUAGCAUGAGUCGCAAAGUUAUAACACCUAACCGAGCUUCACUUAAGCCUAAGACCAUCGAGGAUUGGUAUCGUUGGAAGAUGUCUCAGAAUAAAGGUACAAUCAAGUGUCUAUUGUUGUUUCAUAUUAACAUCACCAUUGCACACAUUACCAUUGAUUCCUGUAUUGUUUGUUUUGUAGAAAUGAGCACUACAGGAGGUGGACCUUCAAGUUCUCAUGCAGAUGAGUUAUCUUCAGAUUCGGUUUGUAUUCAUUCAUGUCUUUUCUAUCUAACUUACUUUGUUUACCAUAUAUCAGUUAUGCACUCCUUUAACACCUUGUCUUGUUUGUUGAUAUCAAACUUGCUUCCGUGCUUCAUGCCAUUCCUAUUUUUCUUAUUUUCAACUUGUGCUUUCAUCCAGGAAAAUGAUGAAGUUGAGAUAGCUUGAUGGAACAAGGAAGAGAUGGAUUCAAAGGAGUCAUCAGCUUGUGGCUUUCAACAUGCUAUUUGAUAUCUUUAUCAUGUAAUGGACUUGUUAUUUGGUAUGCUGUUAUGUAAUCGACUUGUUGAACUAUGUUGUGGACUUGUUGAACUAUGUUGUGGACUUAUCGAACCAUGUUGCGGACUUAUCAAACUAUGUUGCUUGUGUCUUUGGACUUGAGAAAUAUGCUGUUGUUAUUUAAUAAUGUAAUGAAUGGAUUACAUGUAUAUGUAUAUGCUGCUGUUUUGUGAAAUGCGGCUGUUUUGUGAAAUAUGUAUAUGCUGAUGUUUUGUGA